AUUGAACGCUGGCGGCAGGCCUAACACAUGCAAGUCGAGCGGUAGAGAGGUGCUUGCAUCUCUUGAGAGCGGCGGACGGGUGAGUAAUGCCUAGGAAUCUGCCUAGUGGUGGGGGAUAACGUUCGGAAACGGACGCUAAUACCGCAUACGUCCUACGGGAGAAAGCGGGGGAUCUUCGGACCUCGCGCCAUUAGAUGAGCCUAGGUCGGAUUAGCUAGUUGGUGAGGUAAUGGCUCACCAAGGCGACGAUCCGUAACUGGUCUGAGAGGAUGAUCAGUCACACUGGAACUGAGACACGGUCCAGACUCCUACGGGAGGCAGCAGUGGGGGAAUAUUGGACAAUGGGCGAAAGCCUGAUCCAGCCAUGCCGCGUGUGUGAAGAAGGUCUUCGGAUUGUAAAGC
rnacentral:rRNA from 1 species